rnacentral:lncRNA from 1 species
GACCAAAAGUAUGAAGCAGCCAUUAACAGGGAUUCGUUCCUCUCCAUAUCGGCAAUAGAUAACCUAAUACACUGGUCCAAUUUCCAUUCACCCCAUUGGACUUCGUUUGAGUUGCCGAUUCUAAGAAACCAAUCUUUCCAUCCCUUGGUAGGGCUGGGCCAGGAACGGAAAGUGUCUUUCCACAGAUCUAGGGAGAAGUUCUCGGCUCUAAAUGGGAUUCUAUUUGUUUCUGCAUUUAUCAGGUCGGUGGGAUCUGGAUUUCCCAACGGGCCGAGACACUGAAAGUGGGGUUGAUCGGUAGGGAUCACGAUCUUAUUAGCCAACUCCUAAGAAGUUUGAAGGUUGAAGGAACAGAAAAAGAACAAAAAGAAAAAGAAAAGGUACUCAGUAAAAAGAAUCGCAGAUGAACAGGAGUACAGUAAAAGCAUAAAGAGAAGGGGGAUGAUAGACUGACCUGAGGAACGACGAAGUUGAUUGCUAUUUCUUCGCGAGGAAGAAGAUCGAAGAUUUAGGGAAUUGGUGAAGGAGGCUCUUGCUGAAGUUCUUGGAGUUCUCAGGCAAUGCCGCCGCCAGGAAAGUGGAUUUUGGGCUGUAGAAUGACAAGAUGG